GAAAGAUCCUUCCUCUGGCCAGUUCCUGUUCAGACCUCUGUUCACAAGACUGUGCAGACCAAGCAAGGCUUCUGGGAAGUAGGAAUAGUCCAGUUUGAGGACUAAAUGCAAAGAAUGCCCUUUAAAAAACCAUCUCCGGAACCUCCUAAUGUUUGCAGAAGUUGGAACCACAAUAGAAUGUAUUCAUCAGCAGAGAAAAUAGGGAUGAGGGCUUCACAAUUACAUCACCCACAUGAUUGACCAGAGGCACAGACAGAAUUCUAAUUCCAGAAGAAGGUCUUUCUCCCUGCUGCAAUGAUAUGAGAACACAACUAUCAAUAUACCA